UCAUAGAUCCCUGGUUUUUUCCUACGACAAUCCAUUCGUAAAACAUUGAAGGCUAUCUUACAAAUUUAAGAGUUAUUUUAAUUGUAAACUAAGUAUUUACUUCGUCAAAACGAAAUUGAACUUAUUUUCAACAUGAAUCUUUCGAAAAAAUCUGGACGUGGUGUUCUCAAACAAACUUUGAAUCCACCGUUCGUGUUUACACCUUCCUAGUGAACGAUUAAGAGGUGAAUACAGGAUGUAUGGGAAAACGAAACAUAUGCAUUAACAGGCUUGUUAAAGGAAAACUAAUUAAGUUAGUAGUAUAUUAACCUGUUAUGCAGUCACAUGGUACAUUGUUUAAUUGAAUUAUUAAAUAUACCUUGGUAUGGAUUUGAAGUUUGUGCAUUACUCACAACAUGUCGUCACAUAACUGUUGGGCUGUUGGUUUCAGUAUCAAUACAGAAAAGAGAUUUAUGAUGUAAUGAUUGAUUGGACUACCGAAUUAGUACUUUAUCUAAUAAAGUCUAAGCUGGAUCCUUUGGAAUUUUUAAUAUAUAUUAAGCAGCCACCUAUCAUUAAUAAGGGAGAAAUAAUAUGGCAGAUGAACAGUCUAUGCAAAAUUACCUAAGUGAAUGUGAACUGAUUAGUACUCCUUAUUUUAUCAUACAUUUACACUCAUUAAGUUUAAAACAUGACAUUAUAUACAAUUGUAAAUUCUCAAGAGAUCCAAUAUCACUUUUAUAACAUAUUUAUUAUAGUUAUGAAAACAAUA